rnacentral:rRNA from 1 species
AGCAGCCGCGGUAAUUCCAGCUCCAAUAGCGUAUAUUAAAGUUGUUGCAGUUAAAAGCUCGUAGUUGAAUUUCGGGAUCAAUUUAUUGGUCGUGCAUAGUACGUACUGGUAUUAUUGGUUCCUACCUUCUGAUGAACCAUGAUGUCAUUAAUUUGGUGUUAUGGGGAAUCAGGACUGUUACUUUGAAAAAUUAGAGUGUUUAAAGCAGGCUCACGCUUGAAUACAUUAGCAUGGAAUAAUGAAAUAGGACGUUUGAUUCUAUUUUGUUGGUUUCUAGGAUCGACGUAAUGAUUAAUAGGGAUAGUUGGGGGCAUUAGUAUUCAAUUGUCAGAGGUGAAAUUCUUGGAUUUAUUGAAGACUAACUACUGCGAAAGCAUUU